rnacentral:rRNA from 1 species
GAUGAACGCUGGCGGCGUGCCUAAUACACGCAAGUCGAGCGAAUGGAUUGAGAGCUUGCUCUUAUGAAGUUAGCGGCGGACGGGUGAGUAACACGUGGGUAACCUGCCCAUAAGACUGGGAUAACUCCGGGAAACCGGGGCUAAUACCGGAUAACAUUUUGAACCGCAUGGUUCGAAAUUGAAAGGCGGCUCCGGCUGUCACUUAUGGAUGGACCCGCGUCACAUUAGCUAGUUGGGGAGGUAACGGCUCACCAAGGCAACGAUGCGUAGCCGACCUGAGAGGGUGAUCGGCCACACUGGGACUGAGACACGGCCCAGACUCCUACGGGAGGCAGCAGUAGGGAAUCUUCCGCAAUGGACGAAAGUCUGACGGAGCAACGCCGCGUGAGUGAUGAAGGCUUUCGGGUCGUAAAACUCUGUUGUUAGGGAAGAACAAGUGCUAGUUGAAUAAGCUGGCACCUUGACGGUACCUAACCAGAAAGCCACGGCUAACUGCGUGCCAGCCGCCGCGGUAA